AGCGGCUGUAAUGGAAAAAUUUUGCCUUGUGCUGUUUCUUAUCCAACACACUCGUCAUGUGCUGGUUAGGUGCAAUACUGAACAUUCUUACACAAACAAAUAAUCUCUUGUGCCCUGACGUACAUCAAGUCUAAACAUCUGAUGCUCCAUUUGACUGACUAAUAAUUUAUGAUAUAUGUUUGUCUUUUACACCCGGACUCUGGCUCCAUCCUAUCUGACUCCCCACCAGACCCAAGGCUGUUAAAGCAAAUGCAUCUUGUCUUGGAAGCUCGGUGUUCCUUCCUUUGGAUAACAAGACAUGACGAUGCAGAAGUGAGAAAGCAAACAUUCUCACUCACAGCGAGAUAAGGUGGUGCAAACAAUUCCAUUGCUGCAGAGAGACAUUCCACCAGAGCCAGAGAAAGGGGUUAAAAGGCAGAAGCAACUUGAGGAUCGUGGGCUCUUUGCAUCACACCUUCGUGGUGUGUGCACUGAUCUCCCCAGCUGGUUUUUGGUUUGUUGAUGUGCACGAUCAACAUCCAUGCUUUUUAUUUGCUUUCCUCAUUAUUUUUAUUUUCUUUAUUAUUUCAAUAAAUCGCACAAAAGGACAACUCUCUCUCAUCUACUUCUUUAUGGAAAAUUUCCACCACAGAAAUUGGCGUCUACGAACAGGAUCCCGCGGCAGGUCGUCUGGACGGUGUGACCAGGGACGAUAGUCCUGAGGACUAGGGUCGCUCAGCCUCCAAACCUCUACAGACAUUCAGAGCUGGGAGGACUGCUCACCCGUCUGGAUCGCCUCUGACGAGAUCCACGAACUCAGAUUCAAACUCAAAUCCUAAUUUGGCUCGGCUCGAACUGAGCGCGAUGAGGGUAAAUCCGGAUCUGGACUCCUUUCCCACCAUCAGCAGAAGAACCGAAGGAGAAGAAGCGCCGACCAACAACCAGAACAGGGUGGAAGCUCUGACACCACAGCAGCUGGAGGACACAGACCACAGCAUGGACGCCUCAGCGACUCCCACAACGCCUGCAGCCAUCACGUUCUGGGCUCAUCAGAUGAACCAGCUACUACAGACCCUGCACCAGCAUGAAAGGACUGUGUCUGAAGCUUCAGAGGCCAUGAAACUGUUAUACAAGCGUGUGUGUCUGACACAGACACCUGCUUAUGACAAUCAGCAAAGGAAAACAAGGACAGAGCAACAGCAGAGAAGACGUGCUCUGACACAGACACUGGUUGAAACAACAGGAGAGGCUUCAGACGUGAUCGGCCCAAUAGAGCUGCAUCUGAGGAUCCAGGAAAGGUCUGUCAUCGAGGAACAACUGUCCCAUUGAAAGGCUUCACCCACUGGCGCUCACAUCAGACUGAUGGUUGGGGAAGGAGGAAGGUGACGGUUCCUUUUCACGUGACGUACAAGACGGUACCGCAAACACACACACACACAUUCAUACACGCAAUGAAGAAACACGCUUACAGCUGAUACACGCUCAAAUUCAUGUUCAUGCUUAUCUGCUCGCAAUGAAGAAUCGCUUUUUGCUCAAAAAAACAUCCCACAGAGUGAUUUUAAAAUGAUGACAAACAGCUAAAUGACAACUGCUGCAUGACUUUACAGUCUGAUGGGUUCAAACUAUUUUAACUUGCAACAAAUUCAGUAAUAAAAUCCUUCAUGUUUCUAAAAAUACUUGUGCACAAUAUAGGUUUGUCUGGCCAGACUAUAGAAAAACAAAACCAGACUAGAAGACUGUAGAAAACAAAACAGACUAUAGAAAAAACAAAAACAGACUAUAGGAAGACUGAAACUGACUGAAACAGACUAUUAAUGACUAUUAAAGGGAAGACGACUAUUAGAGAGAAGUAAUAAUAAUUACUGUACGUACCAGACUAUUAAAGAAAAACUUACUGUUUCACUGUCUUGUGCAACAUCUGACAGAAAGACACCUUAACAUUCAUUUUUGCUUUCAAACUUAUGCCCAGUUUAAAUUUUUAGGAAGAGAUCUUGUGUAGUUUAGGUAUUUGAUUGAUUUCCACUCCAGACGGAGUGCAGGUUACAUCUACAGACAUUCUAAAUAAUCCCUCUUUUGUUGGUGUUAACUUCAGCUCAGCUGUGCUCUUAUCAUUGGCUGCUGAGGGGGGGCUGUAACUGAGGCCCUCACACAGGCUGCAUCACAGCUUGUUUAUGAUUUCACACACACACUCAAACUGACCUCAACUUCCCUCUUUUGGGAUGAACACAGGUCUGCGCUUGCGAUUUCUUUUACUAACGAACAAAAAGAUUUUUGAUGUUUAUUCUACAGUUCCACACGCCCCUCUGUGAAAACAUGAUGGAGACAGAUGCAGGACGUGGGUCCUUUCGUGAACAGAUGUCAACGGGGUGGAGACUGGUGAACGACUUCUGACCCCAUGUGACGUAUUCACCUACUUUGCAUAGUUUUAGAAAACUUAUUUUUAUUCUGCCUGUUAUGUGCAGCAAACAGUGAACUUGGUACCUCCACAUUCUAAUGACACACUACAUGCUUUUGUUUUUAUUUUGAUUUUUCAGAGGACGCUCUGACCCAACACUCAGCCUUACAGGAAGCCCUGCUUCCCUGUGGCUCACACACAGACAUGAUGUAGGUUUGAUCAGAGGAUGUGAACCAGUGGUCAUCACACCUAAAUCUGACCACAGACCAUGUAAACAACACCACCCUCUUAAAGGAGCCAUAGAUGGUGUUACUGCAGACACCACUAAGCUACUGAAACAUUGGAUGCAACAGGCCACAAAGAGAGCCUGUCUAAAUUACACUUUGUUCAGACAAAGGUUAUUUUCUGGGUCAUUGUAAUUACAGCUGAUGGCAAAUCCAUCUCACCCAACAGAGUUGAAGCAAUUUGAAACCUGCCUAAACUGUGCACGUAUAAACAGCUUAUCUUUUCUAGGUCUUCGUUCUUAUUGUAGGAACUUCAUUCUUAACUUUAAUGUCUUUGAGGCCCCACUCAGGGUUCUGAUGCAGACGUCUUCAUCGUCCACUUCUUGUCUCACGUGGACGUCUGAGGCUGAACAACGUUCACCGACCUCAUGCUUGCUCUUCAGUCGGCUCCUACCUUGGGUCUUCCUGAUCUGACCCUACGCGACCUUUCACUCAAACAGUGGAUGAGAAAUCAGGUUGUACGACUUCUGUUGUUUUGUCCUCAUACUGUCUUUGAUUCUUUUGGAAAACAUCACAUCUUUCUACAGCCCGAUGGCUUAGAUACAACACCACCUUACUCAACAUGCUGAACGUUACUAUCAAGAGGCCGUCUUGAAGUCUGGCUCUUUGCUAAGACACUACUCUGCUCAGGCUGCAGAGUUGAUCACAUUGACUGAAGCUAGUAAACGAGCAGAAGGAGAGUCUGUUACCAUCUACACGGACUCCACAGACGCUCUGUGGAAGCAUAGGAAGCUUUUUUGAAGUCUAAUUGCAAACCUAUCUCACAUCAUGAUUAGGUUCUGCUUUGCUGGACGCUGUCCUGCCACCUACAGCUAAUGCUGUUUUUACAUCAUCAGUGACGACUUUGUUUCUGCCGACAUGCAGCUGCAGACGCUGCUGCGAAGGACGACAACCCCUCCCUCUCCUGAUCCUCGUUUCCUCUCCUCAUCCUUGUUCCCUCUCUCCAACUCUCUCUAUCCUUUCCUUCCUUUCUUCCUCUCUCCCUGUGCUUUAAACAUUUUCUACCUCGCAGGAACACAGACUCUGGCUGACGAAUGGUUCCACCUGUAGCCAUGGAGUCUGGUUUGGGCCUGAUGACACGCCGUGCCGCCCAAACACCUUUUCCCCAUAAUUCAGAUUUCCCAACAGGUGAAAGCAGGCGACAGGACCACUACACCAUCCAACCAGGGCACUGGGUGAUCGUUAAGGAGUUCAGGAGGAAGCACUGGAACUCCAAACGGUGGCGAGGCCACUUCCAGGUCCUUCUGACGACCCACACGGCUGUAAAGAUCGCAGAGAGAGCGACUUGGAUCCACUCCACUGCAAGAAGGUCCCGGAUCCAACAGACGACCCUCCAUCUACAUCUACACCACACAAGAAAACCACCACUGACGAAAAGAAUUGAGAAGAACGACCCUCGCUGUGCUCACACACGCACUGAGGCGAGGCUGCGUUGACCGUUCAGCUAAAGGUGUGAGCCAAGCGCCGCCUGAAGCUGCGCCGGUGAAUCACACUAUCAGACCAUACAUCUACACACACGCUCCUGAGAAAACACACACACGAGCAGCCUUGAGUUGCCGACGCUGGACGACGUGUAGACUCUUCACAUCACGGGAGUGACAGUGACUCAGACGACAUUGGGAGGAAACCUGGCGGUGAUAACGAACCCCAAGUGUCUCUGUGAUCAGCUGAUCACAACCUGAAGGACUCCAACGAACUGGCAAUACAUCAACACACAGGUUGGAAACAAUCUAACGCUACUGUUCAACAGGAAGAAGCAGAUUGUUACGAGACAUCAAUUGUAAACAUGCUUUGUUAGACUUCAUUUUAUGUUACUUGGAUUGUUGCCUUUAGCAUAUGAUGUUUCUAUGUAACUUUACACACUACUUUUGAAUGAGAAAAUUCACAACAACAACAACACUGAGUUUAAAUAUCCUGAAGUUGAUUUAGUGUUUAAUUUGCUCACAAUCACUUAUUCACUGCUACAAUUAGUUUUUAUCCUUCAUCUACAGAUGACAGAGGUUAUGAGACAAAACGCAUCAUCAUUCUGGUUAAAUCCCUGAAUCUCCUAUUCGCUCUAGACGCAAAUGUACAAUUAAAGAUCCGAAAGCAUUAAAUCUAUCUUAAGAAUAUAUGAAACAGAACCCCACCGGAAACCUAUGGCUAUCAUACAUUAAUUGUCUUUAUUACAUUACAAUUGAAUGGCCGUAGACACGUUGUUAGCAGAGAAAAGAGGCGUUUGUGUUAUGUUUGGAGAGGCAUGUUGUACUUACACCCUGAAUAACACUGAUUCUAAUGGUAUUGUGGCGAAGGCGCUCCACGACCUUCAGAAUCUCAGCUAACUCUGGUAUAGGUUCUUUCCCUUGGAAAUUGGCUAGACGAAAUGUCUGGAAAAUGGAAAUCUGUCCUCAUGUCCACAGCUGUUUCCUUUAUAAUUGAGAUGGCUGUGAUUCUCUUGUUUGGUUCUUGCGUUAUCCCACUGGUUAAAGGUCUCAUCAUGCGUGCGACCUCAGCAACACUCUCGUAUCAAAUGACACAAUGAACUAUGUUCAAAAACCCCAACUCUAAUUCACGUAAUGACUUUGACGAUGGCUAUCUGAUCACAAAAUAUAAUCUGGUACAAAUAUGA